GGUAGGAGAGUGAAACGGAUUCCACGCCGGUCUCAUAAGCCGGAAACAGCAGGUUCGACUCCUGCUCCUGCCC
rnacentral:tRNA from 1 species